UAGUCUUUUUUGUCUAAUCUGAACCAC
rnacentral:piRNA from 1 species